UUUCCUACUUGACAUCUCUGAUCUACGAUAACUUCGUUUCCAUACAAAGAUUCUCUUCAAACAACUUGUCAGUUGAAUUCAAGUACAAGAUGAUUUGUUUCAUGAAAAGAUUCGGAAUGAACAAAAUGGGAAUUUCCAUUGGAGGCUUCUUUUACGUUCAAAAAAAUUUUGUGAUUCGGAUGGCGAGUGCUUUAUACUCAAUUUUCUCUUCUGUAGUGCAAGUAACUGGAGUGAUGAGCAAACACAAAUCGUGUAAUUACAGUUCUGUAUCCAAUAAUUCAUCAUUCGAUAAUAGUAAAUCUGUCUUUUAAUAGUUUUAAAUCGUACACUUUUAUCAAAUUGUUUAAGAAGAAAAAUGGCAAACAAUAGUUCGCAUAAACUUAUUGUGACAUCAUCACUUGGAUUUUUUCACAAUAAUGAAAACACUCUAGAAAAAAACAUAGAAAAAUAAAUAUAAAUUCAAUUCCCUAUUGUCAAUAAAGUAUGUCAUCGUCUUUAUUUUACUUUAAUCAAUACAGAGUAAGUGGUCAGUAAU